CGAUGAUAUUAUCAUAAAUAUUCUUUUCAAUGUGCAUUACAUCCAGAUUAUGAUGAAAUAGUAGCUACUUCCAAUAUGAUAGUUCAAAAAAGAUGCUUCGCUUUAUCCAAUUCAGCUCAGCUUCAGUACGCUUCCUCUUGCGAGUAUCCGAUGUUUUUCCAAAUUGGAUAUUUUCAAUGACUUCAAGUUGUUCUAAAAUUUUUGCUCCACUUAACUACUUAGGUGGCAGACAUC
rnacentral:lncRNA from 1 species